AUUGAACGCUGGCGGCAGGCUUAACACAUGCAAGUCGAGCGAGCGGCGGACGGGUGAGUAACACGUGAUAACCUACCUAUAAGACUGGGAUAACUACUGGAAACGGUAGCUAAUACCGCAUACCAUCAGAUGUGCCCAGAUGGGAUUAGCUAGUAGGGGGGGUAAUGGCCCACCUAGGCGACGAUCCCUCGCGGGUCUGGGAGGAUGACCGGCCACACUGGAACUGAGACACGGCCCAGACUCCUACGGGAGGCAGCAGUGGGAAAUAUUGCACAAUGGGCGCAAGCCUGAUGCAGCCAUGCCGCGUGUGUGAAGAAGGCCUUCGGGUUGUAAAGCACUUUCAGCGAGGAGGCGUUACUCGCAGAAGAAGCACCGGCUAACUCCGUGCCAGCAGCCGCGGUAAUC
rnacentral:rRNA from 1 species